rnacentral:tRNA from 1 species
AUAUUAUUAGUAUAAUUGUCAUUAUAUCACUUUUCCAAAGUGGGGAUCUAAUUGUUUAGAUAAUAUA